AUUGCUUGUCAGCCUUUUGGAGAAACUCGAGUAUAGUGUUUAUUCUUACCAAUUUUAUAUCUGAUAGAUUCUUACUGUAAGGAAUUGCUGUUACAUGGCAAUGUAGAGCCAGGAGAUGCUUUAGGCUCCUGGAUGCUGCAGCCGCUCCACACGUUGUCCUGGCACUGCAGCGCCUCCAAGAGAAGUGCACUGUCA
ensembl:snRNA U2 U2 spliceosomal RNA